GCGCUGGAGAACUGAGGGGGGCUGCUCCUAGUACGAGAGGACCGGAGUGGACGCAUCACUGGUGUUCGGGUUGUCAUGCCAAUGGCACUGCCCGGUAGCUAAAUGCGGAAGAGAUAAGUGCUGAAAGCAUCUAAGCACGAAACUUGCCCCGAGAUGAGUUCUCCCUGACUCCUUGAGAGUCCUGAAGGAACGUUGAAGACGACGACGUUGAUAGGCCGGGUGUGUAAGCGCAGCGAUGCGUUGAGCUAACCGGUACUAAUGAACCGUGAGGCUUAACCUUACAACGCCGAAGCUGUU
rnacentral:rRNA from 1 species